AAAGACCUUGCGCUUUUGGAGCGGCCGAUGUCUGAUUAGCUAGUUGGUGAGGUAAUGGCUUACCAAGGCAACGAUCAGUAGUUGGUCUGAGAGGACGGCCAACCACACUGGGACUGAGACACGGCCCAGACUCCUACGGGAGGCAGCAGUGGGGAAUUUUGGACAAUGGGGGAAACCCUGAUCCAGCCAUGCCGCGUGAGUGAAGAAGGCCUUCGGGUUGUAAAGCUCUUUCAGCCGGAACGAAACGGUCACGGCUAAUACCUGUGAUCACUGACGGUACCGGAAGAAGAAGCACCGGCUAACUACGUGCCAGCAGCCGCGGUAAUACGUAGGGUGCGAGCGUUAAUCGGAAUUACUGGGCGUAAAGCGUGCGCAGGCGGUUUUGUAAGUCAGAUGUGAAAUCCCCGGGCUUAACCUGGGAACU
rnacentral:rRNA from 1 species